rnacentral:lncRNA from 1 species
CUUUUCCCACGCCCUCUGACACCCCACAACCUCUGGCCAAGGCCCGCUGCCCCCCGCCUCUAGGCCUUGUUCUUCCUCUCCCGGGUCCCCGACCACUCCCCAGACACGCUCCGAGCUCUUCACCCACGGUCCUGCAGUCCCCAAGCCCAGCUGUCCCCCAGCCCUUCCCCGCACCCCACCCGACCUGCCGCGCCCAGCCCCCCGGCCGCGCUCGCACAGCGGCCGUUGGUGUCUGGCCACGGCCAGUGGCCGGGCCCUCGGACUGCGGAGAUGCCGAGCGGCCGAGUGUCCACUACGGCCCUGCGCAGGCCUCGGCCUGCCGGGGACCCCGCCCGCCGACCCGCAAGACUCCCCGGUGCUCGAUGGCGCUGGGCCUCACCGAGAUAGAUGUCUCCGAAGGAGCCGCUGCCGAUCUUGCGGCCCAGUCGGUACCUGUUCCCGACCCUCAGCUCCAUGGCAGCGGUGCGGCUCGCUACUGCCCGCCCGGCCGCUUCCUGGGUCUGCGCUCCGGGAGGCGGCGCCGCUGCUGCCGCUACUGCGGGUCCGGUCCGACUCCGCCCCCCUCACGGCCCCGCUUUCACCAUCGCUUUCUGGUCGCCCCGUCGCUCUCAGCGCCUCAAUACGGGGCGGAUGGGACAGUCCGAGCGCCGCCGCCGCUGCUCCGGCCCCUGCCGGCCCCGCUCGCCCUCUCCCCGCCGCGGAUGGACUCGGAUCUUCCGGGCCUAAAUCC